CCUACGGGAGGCAGCAGUAGGGAAUCUUCCACAAUGGGCGCAAGCCUGAAGGAGCAAAGCCGCGUGCGUGAAGAAGGGUUUCGGCUCGUAAAGCUCUGUUGUUGGGGAAGAACGAGCGUGAGAGUAACUGUUCACGCAGUGACGGUAUCAGACCAGAAAGUCACGGCUUACUACGUGCCAGCAGCCGCGGUAAUACGUAGGUGGCAAGCGUUAUCCGGAUUUAUUGGGCGUAAAGCGAGCGCAGGCGGUUGCUUAGGUCUGAUGUGAAAGCCUUCGGCUUAACCGAAGAAGUGCAUCUGAAACCGGGCGACUUGAGUGCAGAAGAGGACAGUGGAAUUCCAGGUGUAGCGGUGGAAUGCGUAGAUAUAAGGAAGAACACCAGUGGCGAAGGCGGCUGUCUGGUCUGCAACUGACGCUGAGGCUCGAAAGCAUGGGUAGCGAACAGGAUUAGAUACCCGAGUAGUC
rnacentral:rRNA from 1 species